rnacentral:Y_RNA from 1 species
GACUGGUCUGAAGGUACUGAGUUAUCUCAAUUGAUUGUUCCCAGUCAGUUAUAGACUGAACUCCCUGUUCUAUUUUUAUCCCCUUCUCACUACUGCACUUGACUAGUGUUAA